UCUGAUCUACUUCCAAGUGGGUUUUGGGUUCAAUUGAAACAGUUUUGGAUCGAUUUAGAGGCUGUGUUGCUAAGACAUAUUUCUAGGUUCAAUUUGAAGGUUAUCUGGGGUGUAUUUGAAUUUAUUUUGGCUUUAUGUAUUGACCUAAUUGGUUUGAAAACAUUUCUAAACUCUUCCUGGGCUGAUAAAUAUAUUCUUGGGCUGGUUUAUCGAUCAUUGCUGCUGCACUACCUGUUUGCUCCUGCUGAUCUUCCUCUUCUCCUUGUGUUGCAAUUUUCCAGGUACACAGUUGGAACUCACCUUGAUGUAACUUCAGAUUUGAACGAAAUGAAGCCAUUUCUGAUCUAUGUUGGCCAGCUUGUAGUUUUAAUCUGUUGAUUUUAAUUUGUUAAAAUUGUUUAAAUCCUGGACUUUAGAAUUGAGUUUUGUUAUCAGUAGUUCUGGUACAAAUAUUUGGAGCCGGCAAAUUGGUGUAAAUUCUAUUUGUGUUGAAUUGUUUCUUCUAGGCUAGUAGUUUAAGCCAGUUAGUUAAUUUU
rnacentral:lncRNA from 1 species